rnacentral:rRNA from 1 species
ACGCUGGCGGCAGGCCUAACACAUGCAAGCCGAACGGACCCUUCGGGGUUAGUGGCGGACGGGUGAGUAACACGUGGGAACGUGCCUUUAGGUUCGGAAUAGCUCCUGGAAACGGGUGGUAAUGCCGAAUGUGCCCUUCGGGGGAAAGAUUUAUCGCCUUUAGAGCGGCCCGCGUCUGAUUAGCUAGUUGGUGAGGUAAAGGCUCACCAAGGCGACGAUCAGUAGCUGGUCUGAGAGGAUGACCAGCCACAUUGGGACUGAGACACGGCCCAAACUCCUACGGGAGGCAGCAGUGGGGAAUCUUGCGCAAUGGGCGAAAGCCUGACGCAGCCAUGCCGCGUGAAUGAUGAAGGUCUUAGGAUUGUAAAAUUCUUUCACCGGGGACGAUAAUGACGGUACCCGGAGAAGAAGCCCCGGCUAACUUCGUGCCAGCAGCCGCGGUAAUACGAAGGGGGCUAGCGUUGCUCGGAAUUACUGGGCGUAAAGGGAGCGUAGGCGGACAUUUAAGUCAGGGGUGAAAUCCCAGAGCUCAACUCUGGAACUGCCUUUGAUACUGGGUGUCUUGAGUGUGAUAGAGGUAUGUGGAACUCCGAGUGUAGAGGUGAAAUUCGUAGAUAUUCGGAAGAACACCAGUGGCGAAGGCGACAUACUGGAUCAUUACUGACGCUGAGGCUUGAAGGCGUGGGGAGCAAAC